CACGUAGGGGGCGAGCGUUGUCCGGAUUUAUUGGGCGUAAAGAGCUCGUAGGCGGCUCAGUAAGUCAGGUGUGAAAACUCCAGGCUCAACCUGGAGACGCCACCUGAUACUGCUGUGGCUAGAGUCCGGUAGGGGAGCAUGGAAUUCCUGGUGUAGCGGUGAAAUUCGUAGAUAUUCGCAAGAACACCAGUGGCGAAGGCGGCUGACUGGUCCGGAUCUGACGCUGAGGCGCGAAAGCGUGGGGAGCAAACAGG
rnacentral:rRNA from 1 species